rnacentral:rRNA from 1 species
UACGAAGGGGGCGAGCGUUGUUCGGAUUUACUGGGCGUAAAGGGCGCGUAGGCGGCGGGUCAAGUCGAGUGUGAAAGCCCCGGGCUCAACCUGGGAAUUGCGCUCGAGACUGGUCUGCUUGAGUUCGGGAGAGGAGAGUGGAAUUCCCAGUGUAAAGGUGAAAUUCGUAGAUAUUGGGAAGAACACCGGUGGCGAAGGCGGGUCUCUGGACAGUUCCUGACACUGAGACACGAAGGCUAGGGGAGCAAACGGG